GGGGAUUAUUAGAAAAUAGCCUUUGACUGGAAAAGUAUUAAGAAACUAACCAUGUGUCAGAAAUGUUGGGUAAAUGACUCUUUUUGUGGUGGGGUAGGGGUGGAGAAAAGACCAAUUAACCUUUUGAAAGUAUAGUUAUUACGAGAUGAUAUAUUUGUUUGUAAGUGGUGGUAGAGAUUCAGUGAAGAAAAAAUAGAUCCGGUCAUAGAAGUGGUACGGUGGUCUUGGUCACCAUAAUGAAUAUGGUUAUGGAGGAGGUGAUGGUAAUUUCAGAGGAAGCGGUGGUGGCGGAAGAUUCGGAGAGAAAAAAUAGAUUCGAUGAUGGAAGUGAUACGGGUGAAGGUAACGAUGGUGGUUACGGAGGUGACACGAUCCUCCCGAGGACUCGGCACUCUAAAGUUGAGCAAGGGAUAGAAGUGGCUGUGAAGCCGUGAUGAUGGAUAGAUGAUCUCGAUCUAGAGACGACACACGACUCAAAGACGAGAGAAUGGAUCGAUGGAUAUCACAGAAGCUUGCGGAAGAGCUUCACGAUACCGAAACUUAGAUCCUUUGGAUAUGCGCACCAAAAGAUACUAAGGGUUUUGCUGGAUAUACACACCAACAAGAUGAUCUUCUUAGAAAAGGUUUUUGAUAAAAAAGAAAGAUAGGUUCUCAUAAGAGAUUACAAGAGAAUAUAUAGAGAAGGAGAAGAAGAGAAGAGAAUAUAGAGAGACAAGUCUUGGAACAAGCUCCAAGGCUGUCUAGAAACUUAACAAAAUAUUAAAGAUAGAAUUUGAAUAGAAAAGACCCUUUGGCUUCAAAGAUGACUCUUGAACUCCUAUUUUCGUCACUCCUCUUGACCAGCAAAUUAAGAACUUGGUUUGGACUCUUCUUGGGCUUGUAAUGGCCAUAAAAUGGGCUGGACUCCAUAUAUAUUCCAUGGGGUAGACUUCUGAAUGUUAUUCCAAGGGCUGAAUCAACAAAUGGGUGAUUUGAAUGUGAAUCAUUUGCCUCAUUAAAAACCUUGUCAAGAAAACCCAUUGGGACAAAACUUGACAAGGGAAAAAGAGUACAAAUGAGACACAUGCCCAUUUGAUGAUCAUUUAUUAAAACCAGUGAGGUUAAGAUAACAUCUUUUCCAUACUCUUUCUCCGGUACGAGCUCACUUUCUGGUUCAAAAUACUCCUCAGGUUCAAGCGGCUCCUCUGCUUCAAGCUCCUCCUCGGCUACAAGCUCUUUAUCACGUUCCAUGUCCUUUGUGCUUUCCAUGAUCAUAUCAUCCCCUCCCUCUUGAAAAGGAUUUGACCUCAAAUCCGUUUGAUCUACAAUAUACGGCACCAAGUCAGAAACAUUAAAGCUAGGACUCACAUUACACUUACCUUGCAGCUCAAGUUCAUAAGCAUUGUCGAUUGUUCUUCUUGUUAGGUCGGAUGGAGAAUCGAUCCUUGGCAUUAAAACAACUCCAAUUCCCGUCCUCUCAUAGAGAUUGGACAAGAGAACUUCUAAGUCUGGUGGCUCCUCUUUUGUACCUGAAAUAUUGUCAACAGCUUUUGCAAAGAGCAAGUGUGUUAUCACAGUCAUGGAGUCACUAUAACCAAGUAAACAUGUCUCAGCUUUUAUCAAUGCAUUAUCUUUGAAAUGUUCAUGUUUUAUUUGCGUUCUAAGACAUGAGUUUGGUUCCAAAUAUUCUUUAAAUAAAUCUAACUCUUUCUCGAUGUUUCCUAGAUUUGAUAAACUCAUAAUAACAGUUCUUGUAAUAUGAGAAACCAAGCGAGUGAAAGAGUUAUUUACCUGAAUAAGGUUCGCAGUGUGUUUGGUGCUUGGUAUCAUCACGAUUAAUGAAAGUGGUGUUGGAUCCGGGGGUUCUUCUUGGAUCAAGGCAUUGGUGGUGACCAACUCCUCCUCACUAGAGGUAUCUAAAAACUCUCCUGGUCGCCAUUGAUAGGUAUGGAAUGAAUCCAAUGAAGAAAGAUCCAUUUUAGGCUCCUCGUGAAACAUGUGAAGUAAAAUGACCAAAAUCUCGUGAGGUGUAGGACUUGAACGUCCUAGAUAAUCUCCUGGUCUCCAAAUGUGGCUUUGAGAAUCAUCAUGGAUGGAUGGUAGUCCUAUAGGUUUAUCCUCCGAGAACAUGUCUUCAUAAUCCUUACUAGCCCUCACAAACAAAUUUGAUUGCUUGCCUAUGCGUUCUUUUGUGUACUUUGGCGAAAAUUGAUCUUGACAAUCUUCACGAAGAUCUCUUGAUUGAUUCCAAUGAUGAGUGCUUAUCUCUCGAUCAUUAGUCUUCUUGGUUGGCCUCAAAAUUGUGCAAUCUCGGGUUUUAAUUUGUGGUGUAGCAUCUGGUGGUUUCUCCUUGAUUACACUAUUGUAUUCAGCUUUAGAUAAUUGAUUGUGGACCAGAACUGCUUCAGCUUGAGUUAAUUCUCCAAUUCCACUCAUGGUUCCUUGUUUGGGUUCUUUGUAAAGGGAUUGAGGCUGCUGCAAAUCCGGCGGCUUUUCUUUGAUUGCCAUUAUGUCUAGUGCACCUUCAGCUUUCCUCAAGUCGUCAUGGAUAUGGAGUGGAACCUUGAACGUGCCUUUUCUUGAUGUCACUUCUCCUAUGUAGUUAUUCUUCUCCAUAGCUCGUGUUCCUUUUUCAGCACUCAUGGGUCAGAACAAAUGCAUUAUACUUGAAAUAGAGAAUCCAAAAACACAAUCCUUCAAGGUUGGUUUGCAAAGCUCAUUGAACGAAUUUGAUUCUUGCAACUCAUAAAAAGUUUUAACCAAUGCAUUUUCGGUUUUUAUUCUAAACAGCUCAAAUGCUUUGCUACACAAAGAAAUUCUCAAAGACGAGUUAAAUUCACGAAACUCAUCAAACAGAAAACAUCUUGGCUUAAAGAGCUUUUCAAGUGUGAGUGUAUCAAAAAUUGGAAUCAUUUUGUCAAAAACAGAUUUUGAAACACGAAAUUCUUUCACAUUUUCCAAACCAAAUUGUUUUUCAUCUUGAGCAGAAAUCAAAACAAACACAUUAAGCUUUUUUGUAACCAAAUCAACUUCCUUACAGUGCUUUUGAUAAUGCUCAUUUGACUCAAGGAUUGGUUCAGGAACAAAGAUAGUUUGCUGCUCCAAAUUAGUAACAACCGAUGGCAAACUCCUUUGAACUUCUACCUGAGAUUCUUCUUCCAUAACCUGUGAAAAACAAAAAGUACUACUCGGUUGCACCGGCUUGGAAAGGAUUAGUUUGUCACAAGGUUGAUCAUUUUCAAGCACCUGAGAUUCUUCUUCCAUAACCUGUGAAAAACAAAAAUUACUACUCGGUUGCACUGGCUUGGAAAGGAUUAGUUUGUCACAAGGUUGAUCAUUUUCAAGCACAAAAUCAGGUUUCUCAGAAAGAUCACACGUAUCUUUCACAAAUUUAGAAGGAAGAGCAAACUUAGCUUUUUCUGAAUUAGAAGGAAGAACACACUUAGCUUUCUUAGGUUUGUUGUAAGCGUUGAAAAUCUUCAGAAGCUCAUCCUCGAACUGUUCUUUAGCUAAGGCUAGACUUUCCUUUUGGUUUUGCUUGUGAACUACAACUUCGUCAGUGACCAUCUUUGGUUGAGAUGUUGACUUAGCUUUCUUGGGUUUAUUGUAAGCGUUGAGAAUCUUCAGAAGUUCAUCCUCGAACUGUUCUUUUGCUAAGGCUAGACUUUCCUUUUGGCUUUUCUUCACGGCCUUAAAUUUUUCACAUCAUUAUGUUGCGGGGUAGCUUUCUCAACACGUCUUUGAUCACCACGAUUGUAGUAGUAACUAUUUGCUUGAUCUUGGGUUGAUCUGCUUCUCCAAUUAGGUUUCUCCUGGGGUCUCCUUGGUUUUGCCUCUUUUUGAUAUGUGAUUUGCUCAUGCCUCUCUUGGCUUCUCCUUGGAGAUCUUAAAUUCUGAUGAAACUCUUGGCGAAAAGCUUCCAAUUCGGUGUUCAUCAUUUUCUUCAUAGCUUCAGUCAAAAGUUUGUUGUUCCGAUUGUAGCUACUCUCUUCCUCAUUGGUUUCAGCCAUCCUUUCUGCAAUAGAAACAACAAAACAACACCAGUAACUAGUUCUUUUUGAAACAAACACGAAAUGACUCUUCAAAUACCACAAAAUUCUCCUAGAACCCUAAUCACGACAGUUUGACUUGUUCGGAUGCUAAAAAUUAUCAACUCGUGCAGGAAAAUUCCAGAAACAAUUUUACAAAAUACUAGACUCAAUUUCUAACCCGUGACAGUUGAUUUCGCGAUUUUAGCAAAUACCAAUUAUUUAUGAAAAUUAAAACAAGAUGACAGACGGAAUAAGAAGAUGAACAGACAAGAUAGAAUACUCAACUUUCAGAGUGUGCUCUGAUACCACUUGACACGAUCCUCCCGAGGACUCGGCACUCUAAAGUUGAGCAAGGGAUAGAAGUGGCUCUGAAGCCGUGAUGAUGGAUAGAUGAUCUCGAUCUAGAGACGACACACGACUCAAAGACGAGAGAAUGAAUCGAUGGAUAUCACAGAAGCUUGCGGAAGAGCUUCACGAUACCGAAACUUAGAUCCUUUGGAUAUGCGCACCAAAAGAUACUAAGGGUUUUGCUGGAUAUACACACCAACAAGAUGAUCUUCUUAGAAAAGGUUUUUGAUAAAAAAGAAAGAUAGGUUCUCAUAAGAGAUUACAAGAGAAUAUAUAGAGAAGGAGAAGAAGAGAAGAGAAUGUAAAGAGACAAGUCUUGGAACAAGCUCCAAGGCUGUCUAGAAACUUAACAAAAUAUUAAAGAUAGAAUUUGAAUAGAAAAGACCCUUUGGCUUCAAAGAUGACUCUUGAACUCCUAUUUUCGUCACUCCUCUUGACCAGCAAAUUAAGAACUUGGUUUGGACUCUUCUUGGGCUUGUAAUGACCAUAAAAUGGGCUGGACUCCAUAUAUAUUCCAUGGGGUAGACUUCUGAAUGUUAUUCCAAGGGCUGGAUCAACAAAUGGGUGAUUUGAAUGUGAAUCAUUUGCCUCAUUAAAAACCUUGUCAAGAAAACCCAUUGGGACAAAACUUGACAAGGGAAAAAGAGUACAAAUGAGACACAUGCCCAUUUGAUGAUCAUUUAUCAAAACCAGUGAGGUUAAGAUAACAUCUUUUCCAUACUCUUUCUCCGGUACGAGCUCACUUUCUGGUUCAAAAUACUCCUCAGGUUCAAGCGGCUCCUCUGCUUCAAGCUCCUCCUCGGCUACAAGCUCUUUAUCACGUUCCAUGUCCUUUGUGCUUUCCAUGAUCAUAUCAGGAGGUGGCCGUAGUAAAUGCGAAUGAAGAAUUGAAAGUUACAAAUCUGGUAAAGGCGGUGGUGGUUGGGGUUGAUACGAUGGUGGUGGUUACAUAGGAGGUGAUGAUGAAGAAGAUAAGACCUCUAGUGGUAGAUCAAGGAAAAAAAAACAUGAAAAUUUUAAAAAUAGUACGGUUUAAGUAAACAUAACACGUAUCUAAAAUAAAAAUAUAUGCAUUAUGUUUAAUAACAUGAAAAUUACAUGUACUGAAGUAAAAAUACAUGUGAC
rnacentral:lncRNA from 1 species